rnacentral:SRP_RNA from 1 species
GCUGGGCAUGGUCGCGAAUGCCUGUAAUCUCAGCUACUCAGGAGGCUGAGGCAGAAGAAUCGCUUGAACCUGGGAGCCUGAGGUUGCAGUGAGCCGAGAUCGCACCACUGCAUUCCAGCCUAGGUGACAGAGCGAGACUCCGUCUCAA